UUUUGUGGUGUCUUACACGGAUUUAAUUCUAAUGAUAAGCGUAUCUUAUGUGUUAUUUUAUUUCAAUUAUUUAUGUACGAGUACCUAUACGUCUACGUACAGAAGUCAUUUUAACGUUAAGUUAUAUUAGCUAUUUAUUUUUUAAUGGAUCGAAAUAAUAAUUUGAAAAAAAAUCUCAUAUGUAUUGUUUCAGAUGUCUCAUCUAACAUUUUUUCAAUUCUACUGAUAAUAUCGAUGAUUCACCUUUCGAGCGAUAUGUCUAAUCUUAUAGUUUCCUUUUGUACGGUUUCAAAUAGGUAGGCCUGUGGCCUACGUUCUGCGAUACGAAUUGAAGAUAAUAUCGUACGUAAACCCCACCAAAGAAAUACAUAUUAACAAUGUCAUUGUCAAUGCUGCUCCAAUAAAAUAACUCGAUCGUGUAUUAUCACGCUUAAUAUCGCCUAAAAUGAUCCAAUAAAAAAUACUCGAAGGAAGAAAGCUAAAGGGUAAAAUAUUGUCGUUUGCAGUUCGUACAGCUCGUUUUUUCUCUUUAUUUUUUCGAUGACCUUGUCGCGAUCGUGUCAAUAUGUGAAUUUUGAAUUUUGCAGUCGUCGACUCAUGCCAGGUGUACACUUAUAUUUUAAUCAGGCUUACAUAUGUAUGAAGGAUAUUAAUAUCAAGAUGAAAUGCCACUCAACUCGAUGCUAUGCUCGGUACUUGCUAAAAGAAUGGAAAUUUCAUUCGAUAUGGCAAAUUCCUCUCGUGAUCCAUAUAACCGUGAAAAGCUAUACCAGAAAUUGCAUCUUUAACGCGACUCUUGUUUACCCAUAACAGACUGGAAAGUUCAAAUUGGCAAUCGUGAUUUGCGAAAUUCUCAACACCUACAUAUUUCAAGUAAAAUGUGACGAAUCCUCGGUUGUCAUCAAAUCCAAGAAGUAGGACCCUGCU